AUUGAACGCUGGCGGCAUGCCUUACACAUGCAAGUCGAACGGCAGCACGAGCGCUCGUGCCAGGUGGCGAGUGGGGGACGAGCGGGUAAGACAUAGGUACAAGCGCGGUAGUGGGGGGGGGACCGGUGGACGCAGGAUUAACAACGCCCACGAACGACGGGAGGAAGAAGGGGGGGGACGGGACUGCCGCAAGCGAGAGGGGCGAUCGAUGACUGAUUAGCUAGUGGGGGAGGUAAAGGCCUACCAAGGCGACGAUCAGUAGCUGGUCUGAGAGGACGACCAGCCACACUGGGACUGAGACACGGCCCAGACUCCUACGGGAGGCAGCAGUGGGGAAUUUUGGACAAUGGGCGAAAGCCUGAUCCAGCAAUGCCGCGUGUGUGAAGAAGGCCUUCGGGUUGUAAAGCACUUUUGUCCGGAAAGAAAUCCUUCUCGCUAAUACGGUCGGUGGAUGACGGUACCGGAAGAAUAAGCACCGGCUAACUACGUG
rnacentral:rRNA from 1 species